CCUACGGGAGGCAGCAGUGGGGAAUAUUGGGCAAUGGGCGCAAGCCUGACCCAGCAACGCCGCGUGAAGGAAGAAGGCCCUCGGGUUGUAAACUUCUUUUUUCAGGGACGAAACAAAUGACAGUACCUGACGAAUAAGCCACGACUAACUACGUGCCAGCAGCCGCGGUAAUACGUAGGUGGCAAGCGUUAUCCGGAUUUACUGGGUGUAAAGGGCGUGUAGGCGGGAGAGCAAGUCAGAUGUGAAAUUCCAGGGCUCAACCCUGGAAGUGCAUUUGAAACUGUUUUUCUUGAGUGAUGGAGCGGCAGGCGGAAUUGCGUGUGUAGAGGUGAAAUGCGUAGAUAUACGGAGGAACACCAGUGGCGAAGGCGGCCCGCUGGACAUUAACUGACGCUGAGGCGCGAAAGCGUGGGGAGCAAACAGGAUUAGAUACCCGAGUAGUC
rnacentral:rRNA from 1 species